AUGAACGCUGGCGGCGUGCCUAAUACAUGCAAGUCGAGCGAACAGACGAGGAGCUUGCUCCUCUGACGUUAGCGGCGGACGGGUGAGUGACACGUGGAUAACCUACCUAUAAGACUGGGAUAACUUCGGGAAACCGGAGCUAAUACCGGAUAAUAUAUUGAACCGCAUGGUUCAAUAGUGAAAGACGGUUUUGCUGUCACUUAUAGAUGGAUCCGCGCCGCAUUAGCUAGUUGGUAAGGUAACGGCUUACCAAGGCGACGAUGCGUAGCCGACCUGAGAGGGUGAUCGGCCACACUGGAACUGAGACACGGUCCAGACUCCUACGGGAGGCAGCAGUAGGGAAUCUUCCGCAAUGGGCGAAAGCCUGACGGAGCAACGCCGCGUGAGUGAUGAAGGUCUUCGGAUCGUAAAACUCUGUUAUUAGGGAAGAACAAAUGUGUAAGUAACUAUGCACGUCUUGACGGUACCUAAUCAGAAAGCCACGGCUAACUACGUG
rnacentral:rRNA from 1 species